AGAGCAAACCGGAUGGUCGCUUCGCAAAAUAAUUGCGGAGAGGAAAGUCCGAGCUCCAAAGGGCGGUGUAGUGGGUAAUCCCCACCCCUCCGCAGCAUUGCUUUGCAACGCGAAGCAGCGGGGGCGGAUUAGAGCAACAGUGACGAUAUCCUCACUGCUUUGUUUUACAAAGCGAAAGAGUGGGGAGGUGAAACGCGGCAAUCUCUGCACGGAGCAAGACCGAAUAGGAGGAGGGCGGCCCGUCUGUUAUUCCUCGGGUUAGGUCGCAAGGACUCUGUUGAGUAAUUAACAGAGCAAGAUAGAUGACCAUCACUGCCAGCAUUUUGCGGGCAGUACAGAACUCGGCUUACAGGUUUGCUCUUUUU
rnacentral:RNase_P_RNA from 1 species